rnacentral:rRNA from 1 species
UACGUAGGGUGCAAGCGUUGUCCGGAAUUAUUGGGCGUAAAGAGCUCGUAGGCGGUUUGUCGCGUCUGCUGUGAAAUCCCGAGGCUCAACCCCCGGGCCGCAGUGGGUACGGGCAGACUAGAGUGCGGUAGGGGAGACUGGAAUUCCUGGUGUAGCGGUGAAAUGCGAGCGUAUAUAGGAGGAACACCGGUGGCGAAGGCGGGUCUCUGGGCCGUAACUGACGCUGAGGAGCGAAAGCGUGGGGAGCGAACAGG